rfam:Mycobacterium avium 2285 (S) gma2285S.contig.6, whole genome shotgun sequence.
ACGGAAGCCCGGUGAGGCCUAGGUCGAUCCGGAAGAGAAGGUUCGAUCUCCCGACCCGGGCGCCCAGCACGGUGCCCGGCACCCACGCGGAGUCAUAGCCGCGAAAAUGGCAGAAGUGUUGCGGACCUGCGUAAUUGCGAAGAGCGGAAGCGUCGACGGCCCUUUGGGUGGGGCUGCAGCCAGAAGCGUCGCGAGAUCGCCGAGGCCAACCCACGCAGCCCAGAAAUGCACGCUUGGUAACCGAGUCCCGUGCUAGCGGGCGGCGGACCGAUCAUUCGGAACGUCGCCCGCUCUACACG